rnacentral:lncRNA from 1 species
ACGCCUACUACCAAUUAGCUGGUGAAACCCAGCUAGCGAAGGCGCUCCUGACGCAGUUGCAGGCGCAGAAUGUCACCGAGACAGACUUGAUAUCAAUGGUGCCGCCCCUCCCCGCCCACCUCUGGCGGGACAAACGUGUUACAAACGUGCCCAGGCUAUCAAAUUCAUCUGAUACUCAAGCACAUGAAGAAAAAUAUACUGAUUUUAACCACGAUAAUGAUAUAAAAUCAAAGCAACAGUCGGAGUUUCGAAGGGAAGGCAAAGCGAAACCUGAUUCAUUUAAAGUUUCUACAUGUCACAGACAAGGUAACGAAGAUAGGUCGGUAAAUGCGCCGGAAUUUCUUGAUGAAAAUCACCGUGAAUCAAAUAGGCAAUUUUCUAGCUCCACGUUCUCACCACGUGGCCAAAAUAAGCUGUCACAGCUUCAGAAUACAUCACCAAUAGAGCAGGAUGAACCAUCACGAGAAUGGGACUACGAUGCACCUCCAUAUGAGCGAGAGUUAUGCCAGUCCAUGCGGUCUUUCGGAUCGAGAUAUUUUCCGCCCUUUAACGAAGAGCAGGAAAAAACCAAAAGCAAUCGUCGAUUUUCUAAUUCCAGUCCAGGAACUAGCAAAGAACAACGGCAAAUACAGCGAACAAAAUCAUCGCACUCAUCCGACGUGUGGUGAAGUGAAGAGUGCGAUCAGAUGUGAAGAAUCCGUAGUGUCAAGCUCCAAUUCUCUUAUCCAUAACUGUUGAAGAAACUAUUGUUCUAUAAUUUAAAAAUAUUACUGCACUUUUUCCGUUAUAUUCACAACCAAUUCCGUAGUGCCGAGCUCCAACUCCCUUAUCCAUAACUGUUGAAGAAACUAUUAUUAAAUUUGUAGGUAAAUAUUACUACUCUUUUUCCGUUAUAUUCACAACCAAAGCCUUAGCCACGACGCCCCGCCGUUUUUUUACCCCUGAAUUAAAACCAUGAUGAAUUUAAUUAUAUUGUUCUAUUAUUUUAUUGAGGUUUUUGGUAGCAAAUGUGCCAUCCGCACAGCGGCUCUGCGCUGUUUUGUGCUGUUGAUUAUCUGUCAAAUUUAGAGGAAUAAUUUGAAAAAAAAUUACCUACCUGUCUAGUAAUAAAGUUCAGACGCGGGUUCAUCUAAAUUAAACUUCUCACAUGAAUUUACCAAAUUAUGGCAGGUGAUUUCACAGUAAAACUAUAGGUGUAUAAAUGGUUAUGUAUAAAACUCGGCGGAGAUUUUAAAUGACGGUGUAGAAAUCGCACGCUCAGUUCUGUGGCACUAAUAAGUAAAAAAAAUUGCUUGACCAGUUACAUAGAAUUGUAUUUGGUUGCCACUCAAUAGAUUGUUUCAUUUUUGAUUCGCUAGUUUCAUAUCUUUUUUCUUUAGUUGGGCGCUAUGGCUUUUUAUGUUUCGAAGGUCUUGUAACUUGAUCCUUACAAUAAAAUUGUGCAGGACAUG